GUUCCACUAGAUGGCUCAGUCGGUUUGAGCCUGGUGCUGAUAACGCCAAGGUUGCAGGUUCAAUCCCUGUGUGGGACA